UACGGAGGGUGCAAACGUUGCUCGGAAUCAUUGGGCGUAAAGCGCACGUAGGCGGUCCGUUAAGUCGGGAGUGAAAGCCCCAGGCUCAACUUGGGAAGUGCUUUCGAAACUGGCGGACUUGAAUACUGAAGAGGAUAGCGGAAUUCCCGGUGUAGAGGUGAAAUUCGUAGAUAUCGGGAGGAACACCAGCGGCGAAGGCGGCGAUCUGGGCAGAUAUUGACGCUGAGGUGCGAAAGCGUGGGGAGCAAACAGG
rnacentral:rRNA from 1 species